AAGUCGUAACAAGGUUUCCGUAGGUGAACCUGCGGAAGGAUCAUUAACAUCUUUUGAAUUGGUGAUGUGGUGUGUGUUUCGGCGCCGCUGCAUCCUCAACCCCAUUGUGUGCAUGUAUGUGUGUGUGUGUUGUGAGUAGGUAGAGCUUCGGCUUAGCCUUCACCUCACCUCACUCAUCUCAUUUAUACAACCCCAAACCCCUUCUUCUCAUCACACUAGACUGACUUUCAAUCCUCGUUUUCGCUCCCUACCAACGGAGCAAAACAUCAAUCAGCAUACAACUCUUAGCAACGGAUAUCUAGGCUCUC
rnacentral:misc_RNA from 1 species